GGUUAAGAACGGGCCUUUUCUUUUCUGAGCGUCCCGCUCUGGGGAUGUAAACGGACCGCGGGGUGGGGGCGGGGCAGCCUCGGCGCUUCCUCUCCGCGACUCCACUAAUCUGAGGAGGGAAACGGUGUCGACGGCCCAGGGGCGACGGUGCGACCCGCUCGGCAGUCUGCCUGGCGUCUCGGAACACGUUUGAGAAUGAACGUUAGCCAGGGAGGGAACGAGAGAAGUUCAUUGAAAGAACCACAAAUGCAAAUGCAAACAAACAAACAAACAAACAAACAAAUAAAAUAAUAAUAAAAGGAAAACUGGACUGGUGUAGGACUACUGGAAAAGGUACCAUUGACAGAUGAGAAAUGUGGAACUGAAAUAUGUGAAACGGGAGCAAAUUGAAACAAAAACUAAUCAGACUUGAAUAAUAGAAGGAAGAUUGAAAAUAAAUUAGCUAAUUCAUGCUUGUCACUUACUACUGGUUUUGGGG